AUGAACGCUAGCUACAGGCUUAACACAUGCAAGUCGAGGGGCAGCAUGAACUUAGCUUGCUAAGUUUGAUGGCGACCGGCGCACGGGUGAGUAACACGUAUCCAACCUGCCGAUGACUCGGGGAUAGCCUUUCGAAAGAAAGAUUAAUACCCGAUGGCAUAGUUCUUCCGCAUGGUAGAACUAUUAAAGAAUUUCGGUCAUCGAUGGGGAUGCGUUCCAUUAGCUAGUUGGUGGGGUAACGGCUCACCAAGGCGACGAUACAUAGGGGGACUGAGAGGUUAACCCCCCACACUGGUACUGAGACACGGACCAGACUCCUACGGGAGGCAGCAGUGAGGAAUAUUGGUCAAUGGACGCAAGUCUGAACCAGCCAUGCCGCGUGCAGGAUGACGGCUCUAUGAGUUGUAAACUGCUUUUGUACGAGGGUAAACGCAGAUACGUGUAUCUGUCUGAAAGUAUCGUACGAAUAAGGAUCGGCUAACUCCGUG
rnacentral:rRNA from 1 species